rnacentral:misc_RNA from 1 species
GUCCUUGUCAAAAUUAUGAAAAUCUGGAUCUGGGACAUCUAUUGACAUUGUUUCCAGAGUGUCUAAAUCUGCUUCUUCACCAGAAGACCCAGAAGAACACUUGAUGCCACGUAUUCCAUCAUCUGUAUCCAGUUGCUGAGCAGACUUAUUUUGUUCACACAUUUCAGGCUUUUCCUGAGAUUUUUCUCCUCCAUCAUUUUCUUUCAUAUUACUCUUCUCAUUUUUUACAGAAGAUUUAGUUACUGUAGCUGAGUUCCAUU